rnacentral:rRNA from 1 species
UACAGAGGUCUCAAGCGUUGUUCGGAUUCAUUGGGCGUAAAGGGUGCGUAGGUGGCGUCGUAAGUCGGGUGUGAAAUUUCGGAGCUUAACUCCGAAACUGCAUUCGAUACUGGCGUGCUUGAGGACUGGAGAGGAGACUGGAAUUCAUGGUGUAGCAGUGAAAUGCGUAGAGAUCAUGAGGAAGACCAGUGGCGAAGGCGGGUCUCUGGACAGUUCCUGACACUGAGACACGAAGGCCAGGGGAGCAAACGGG